AUUGAACGCUGGCGGCAAGCCUAACACAUGCAAGUCGAACGAGUGGCGGACGGGUGAGUAAUGUCUGGGAAACUGCCUGAUGGAGGGGGAUAACUACUGGAAACGGUAGCUAAUACCGCAUACCAUCAGAUGUGCCCAGAUGGGAUUAGCUAGGAGGUGGGGUAAAGGCUCACCUAGUCGACGAUCCCUAGCUGGUCUGAGAGGAUGACCAGCCACACUGGAACUGAGACACGGGCCAGACUCCUACGGGAGGCAGCAGGGGGGAAUAUUGCACAAUGGGCGCAAGCCUGAUGCAGCCAUGCCGCGUGUGUGAAGAAGGCCUUCGGGUUGUAAAGUACUUUAAGUUUGGAGGCGUUACCAACAGAAUAAGCACCGGCUAACUUCGUGCCAGCAGCCGCGGUAAUUC
rnacentral:rRNA from 1 species